CCCCUCCCAGGACUGCACAUGGAAAGUGUCCAGUACUCUACCCAUCUCGGCUACAGGAGGGCGAGUCAAGCAGAGACCUACCCAUUCCAUUUCUAGCUUGGGCAAUGGCUAGUGAGUGGAAGGCAAUCUGCUACAUGU